GUGUAAUAUAAAAGGUGACAAAAUUAACACCUCUCUUGAUAAGGAGGGACGGUUCAGGUCUAUAACAUGCAUACAGCUAAGAGAAGGCUCAGCUAUCUACCUCAUUGCAUCUAACCAACCUUUUUU